AGAACUAAUAUUCCAAGAGGUGGAAUGAGAGGGUAACGCCUUGAAACGCCCCCUUAAUACUGCGAUAAGCGGUUAUGUGUGUAAUAACAUAGCUGUUUGAAGCUCGCUGAAGUCGGCAGAGAGUAGUCCAAACAGGUAAUGCUGUGGAAAGCUAUACAGAGGUGUGUGGUGCUACCUAUAUGCCGGAGGUCUAAAA
rnacentral:ncRNA from 1 species